AGGGAAAUUAUGCAGAGAGCAGUUAUGUUACUUUUAAGUUUAAAAAGUCCCAACUUGAACUGAAGUUAGUAAUCCUUACCUACUCCUGUAGAAAGGAACAACAUUCUAUGAUUGUCAGCAUGAUACCAGAAUCCAUAAAAAUGUUUGAACUAGGAAUUUCCUCAAAGAGUAAUACUUGUCUAAAGUAGUAUAGCAAAGCAGAAAGCAAGGAAUACAACUAAUCAAAAUACUCAUAAAUCGAACAAAUAUAUUUGCUUACCUGUUGAGUAUAUUGUAAAUAACCAGCAUAUGCACCAUAUCCAUACAAUGAGGGAUCUUGUGUGGCUCCAUAUGAAUAUGCAUCAUAGCCUUGUCCAUAACCAUAAUAAGCACUCCAUUGAUUAGGAUCUGUAGGCUGGGUCCAAGUACCAGGUAGAUCCUGUCAGUGGUAUCAAAUACUCAACAUCAUUUAACAAAGUCCAUAACAACACUAAGCUCUUUGUCUCAGUAGAUAGAUAGUACUCAUCACUUGACUCCCCAUUACCUCUGCUUUCUUAAAGGAUCAAUAAGUGUCCUAGUUCUCUGCCUUAUUAAUUGCUUAAAAUAACAUCCAAGUGGAAAAAAGUAUCCUAUCCAAUCCAUAAAAAAUACAUUCCAAUCCAGGCCAGUGUGAUAAAAAAGAAAGUUAAUGACAGACACCUGCUUUGCCGUUGGACUCCUUCCCCAAGAAAGACGGACUACUUGUUGCCCAAUCACAGCGCCCUGCAUCCUUUGAAUUGCUUCUUCUGCAGAUGUCCUGCAAAGAUGAAUAUCAAAAGACAGAAAUUUGUCCAGAAAGAAAAUGACUAAAUGCGUACAAAGGAGAAAAUAGGAAAUCAUGACAAUGAAGGACAGCAUUCGAUGUAUGCCAAAACAACUAUAGUAGUUAUAAACAGCUUUUAAAUGCAUGAGAUGAGAUGGCUAAAGAAAUCCAACAACCAAACUCAAAGCUUAAUUAGUCAUUCUACACCACCAGAAAAAUUCAUUCUUAUCUUUUUAACUUCUCUUGUUGGGAGUAGAGAGAAUUUUCUUUUGUGUUUUAUUCUCUUCAACAAAAUAUAAGUAAUAGUUUGCAACAUGCCUAUGAUAGGCAGUGAUCAUGCCUUUAAAAUAACUGAAUUAAAAGAUUCACACAUAUUAUUAACAAUAUAUCGCAAUCCAAUCCAGUCUUGAAAUGAGCCCUAAACCAAGUAUUGGGGUCCUUUUCAUCAACCAUUAUAUGCAUCUUUGAUUCUUGCUUCAUCAUCUCUAUUUCUGCUUUGAACUGAGUCAUAUAUGAAGCCCUUGCACAUCUUCAAAGCCUAUCUUAAGAGUAAGACCUCUAUGCAUUUGCUUGAAGUUAGUAUAAAAGUGUUGGACACAACACCUAUGCUCAGCUUCUGGAAGUUUGUCCCUAACAGCCUAAACUAUACCCUUUGCAACACACACAACAAUCACAUAUGCCACACUAAUAUCAAUAGUUUAACAUAAAUAUUAAUUGGAUAACAAAUUAAUAAAUACUACCUUCUGUUUGUCAGUCAUAUGCACCAUGUACUAAGAUCUGAAAUUUGUAAAUCUUGUACAAGCAAUCCUAAAGACCAACUCCAGUUAUCAUAAUUCUCUACCCCAACAACUGACAAAGCCAACGGAAACAUUUUGUUAUCACAUCCAUUCUAACUGCUAAUAAAAGCUGCCCAUCAUAUGGACCUUUUAGGAAGCAACUAUCUAACCCAAUCUCUAUAUCAGCCAGCUAAAAACUCUCUUUAUUGGUUCUAAGCGCAUAUACAGCCUUCUAAACCUAGAAACACCAUUUCAUCUAUAUCAGUCUUAACAAACACAGUAAAUCCCGGAUUUGCCCUCUCAAUUCACCACAAAUGUUUCCAACAUGGUGCUAGUUUGUCAUGGAACCCCUGAAUAGUGUCUCUCACUUUUCUAAGUGUUCUAUACCUUACUUAAGGCUAAAAUCAAUAUUUAACUCCUCAAUUACUUUGGUCAUCAACUCAUGCACUGUCAUAGAUGACACUUUCCUUACCUCAUCAACAAAUAGUUUGCUAGCCAACCUAGAUGUCAUUUUUUAUUGUGGAACACUCUUCCACAAGUGUGCUCAUCACUAAGUGUUUUUAUUUGAAAGGUGUUUUCAUCUUGCAUUUUAGACCCAAAUAGCUGCUAGUCACAAUUUCUGCAUUUCAGUCUCACCCUACGUGUGUCAUUUUUCUUGAAACACACAUCUCUCCCAUCCAUUAUUGCUUGGAUCUUACAGCCAACCUGAAUGUAAUGACUGAUGUGAACUUCUGACCAACUUCAAACUUUGGUUUCUUCAUGUCUGUUAACUGGAAAUUUAGGCCUCCUUGUUUUACUAUUCCCAUCUUCAUCAGAUUCACUUUGACUCCUCAAUUCAAAUGAAUCAUCCAAGUCAUAUUCUGAUUCAAUGUCAUCAAUAUUAAUCAUAUCAGGGUCAUCACAACAGUUAAUUUUAAUGGGUGGGUCUCUCUUCCUUCUUGGCUUUUUCUUUCUUUGCUCACUACAAUGAGAAGGACCAGGUUUAUUGCAAUGCGAAGGGCCAGCUUCAUGUGCACCUAGGUCUACUCCAAUAGUUUGACCAAUUUUGAUGGCUUCAUCUAAUACGUCAUUGUCUCCCCCUGGAUCCUCAUAGUCUGAAUCUGCCAUCUUCUUAUCAACAUUGACUCCAUUUUCUUCCUCUUCUUGUCUGGCAAUAUCACAUGAUAUUUCCCCUACACCACCUUCAUUGCUGGCUGCCUUUUGUGCAUUUUCAUUGCAAUUUUUACAUUCAUUUUCUUCUCUGACUUGUGCAUUUAAAGCUUCAUCAUAACCUUCAACAUCUUUUGUUCCUUUGCAGCAUCACUCCUAUUAUCAGCUUUCUCUUCUACCAAAUGUCGUGCCCCAUUUUUUUGAGAUAAGAAUAAAAGAUGAGUUUAAAAAAAAUGGCUUUUGAUUCAAUUUUUGAUUGGAAAAUGACUUUUUGAUUUAAAAAGAAAAUGAAAAAUAUGAGUCUAAAUGGGACUUGAAAAUGUGACGAUUUGACCCAAAAUAUAGUUUAAAAAGGGUUAUUUGAAUUAAAAAUCGGAAUCGCCACUUGGUAUAGAGUUAAGGUGUACCAAGUCACCUAAAAGUGAAUUUUUAAAGAAAAGUAGAAAACUCUUUUCAAACGAACCCCAAGUCUACGAAAAUCAGAGAAAAAGAUUCGGGAGUCACAUUUGAAGAAAGAGAAGGCAAGGAUAAGAAUCCAAGGCACCAUUUCAACCUAGCCAAGGCUAGUUGCGUGAUUUAGUCAAAGAUUUUCUUAUAUUACCCUUAAGAUUUAUCACAUUUGGAUGUACUAUAUGAAUGCAUACCCUAGACCUAAGAGGGUGUCAGGGGGGUUUCGAAAUGUAUCUUCAAAGCUUACUUCGGUACCAAUCACAUUAAUUGUGACGCCCAAUAAAGACUUUUCGAAAAAAUCACGAAUAAUGCAAGUCAUGAGACUCGAAAGAAAGGAAAAGUAAAGAAAAUAAUAAUAUACAAAUGUGUAUGACCUAAAGGAAUGCAUCAUAAUGGGUGCGGGGACUAAUGUUCGUGACUCAAUUUUCCCUUUAAUAGAGGGAAUACGAGUGUGCUAAGGCUAGAAAGCCAAACUCGUCAAUAUCCCAUACUCAAGGGGUUUUUUCUAGUCUAACCAAGCAAAUGUACUAACCUAGGUUUAAUACUUAGAUGAAACGCAAGUCUAAUGUCAUGUUUCAUACAAAGGGGUAAGUAAUAUACAUAUGAGGGAAAAUAUGGGGGAAGGGAUAUACGUAGAAGGAGGGAUGUCAUGCAAAAAAAAUGAUAAAAGACCCUAAAAAGUGAAAACAUGCAUGAGAUGGAGUGAUUUUAUCACACAAUCAUGAUCUAACGCUCGAGGGCUCCUAAGGGUCUAGCAUUGGACUAGCCCUUUUACUAAUACUCUCUCACAAGCAUUGGACUUGUGAGGGCUCGAGGGGAAAACCAUGACUAGCAUUGGACUAGCCACGGUAACGUGCAUUCAUCCACACAAUCAGAUACAAUAUUAAAACAAAUAGACAUGCAAAACACAUAGUUUCACAUAGCACGUAACACAUAAGCAUGCUUGUCUAGAUGCAGAAUCCUAGGAAACGAUUAAACACAUAGGCAUAUAGGCACACACAAGCACAUAGCACACAAGCCCUAUCUAUUACAAAAGGGGAUGCCUACUACAGUCUAAAGGGGAGAUAAAAUAAAUAAAUAAUUAAAAUAAAUAAAUCUUUAACUAUUACAAAUUUGGCAUCCAAGUGCCUUUCAAAUGAGCAAAAUUGAACUACAAUAAAUAUUCAAAACUAAAGCCAAUAAGUAAGUAAAUGAUAAAGAUAAAACACUUUCAACAGGCAUGCAAUUAAACACAUAAAGUCAUAUAGGGCAUGUAGGAUCCAAUAAAGUGAGAAAUAAGGGAUAAAACGUACCUCCCUUGAGGUGGGGCCCUAAUUGAAUGAAAUCACUUAUUUACCCUCCAAAAUAAAAGAAAAGGUCAAGGCAUCUCAAAUAAUCACGUUUAUACGAAAUUGAAUCAUUAAAUGCAUUCAAAUGCCUAAACAGUCCAUAUUCACAAGAUUAGGAUCCAAUUGAAAGGAAAAAGAAAGUUCAAGGGGGGCAAUUUGAUUGAUUUUUUAAUUAUUUGGGCCAUAGUAUAACAAAAAGGAACUUGGGGGGUUAAAGUGUAAUUUUUAGAAUUACUUUCCAUGCAUGCUACGAAGAAACAAAUUCUCAUCUCUGGUUUCCCUUUCUCUGCAGCUUACUGUGUUUCAUUACCAACCCAAACAUUACCAACAAACAUCGACUUUUGAAUCAAACGAUCACAAGACACUCCCCCAAUCAUCAACCAAGCCAAAUAUUACAUUUGUGUUGCAAGACCGAAUGAGAAAAAUCUGGUUUAGUGAUUGCUAGAAAAACAAAGUGCAGCAGUAGUUUUCGUAACAGCAAAACAAGAAAAUGCAGCAACAAUCUUUAACUCUUGUUUGAAAUGCCAAAAACAAAACGUUCAAGAAAUCAUGCUUAAGCUCAGACCCUGAAACAAACAAGAUGCCAAACAUGCUAUGAAUCAAACACUCAUCAGAGAAAACGCAUGCCAAGCUGAAGUUUUCCUUCCCACAACACUUUGUCUUCGACUUCAGCAUAUAGGAAACAACCAUGAAUAGCUUGCUGAAGCCUCCAACUUCAACUCUUAAAGACAUCAAAUUCCAAAUCAGAAAAUGAAAACCAAAUGCGUGGUUAAUAUUCGGGUCCCUCCCAAUUCAAAAUGUAUUCGCAAGGAAAUAAACUUCUGCACUGAUUUGCUUUUUUUUUUAACUUUGCAGGUGACCUGAUAGCAUGUGAUAAUCUUAACCAGAAAAAACAAUCUCAAAUAUUUAACAAGCUUCCUAAACUCAUCACUGAAAUAUAACAUUGAAUGCACAAACGAAGGAAAAAAAUCUGAGCAAAGGAGGAAUUCAUCAGACCCCAGAUUCAUUCAUUAGUUUCAAAACUAAUGACUUUCCAAACACAGCUUUAACACCAGAUGUUGUUCAUGGCAUUUCACUCAAGCAUAGACAACAAAAAACAAGCAAGUCAAACGAAGUCAUAGCUUCAGCAAAACGAAUACGUGAAAAUGACAGCCACUACAACCCAAAGUAAAACACAUGAAUUGGUCAAACGUUGCUGCAACAGAUUUGAGCAAGCCGAGAGUUGCAAACCUGUUGCAUUAGAAGCUCAAUCUAUUUCUAAGAAUCCAGAGCUACCCAACUACGAUAAAGGAUCUCACGAACAGGGGCAUAAGGCCAUAUUCAUCAGAAAUCAGCAAUAACAUCAUGUUCAUCAGAAAUCAGCAACAACAAAUCACAACCAAGAAUAAACGAACUAGAAAGCUGCAGAUCCUUACACAAAUAUCACCAGAUCUUCACAAAAUGGUAUGAAAAUGACAGGAAGAAAGGCUGGAGUUACCUACAAAUGUCGGUGAAAUAAAGCAAACGUGAAAUAUGUCCGAAAAAUGCAUGCAAAUUCCAGAAAUGAGAUUGAGAAUGCCGGCGCCGCAGAACUUCAGCGCUGAUGAAGUCGUCACCUUGGCUCCUGAUUUGGCUAUCUUCCUAUGGUUUUCCCUUCAAAAUUUCUGAAUGAAAAACACUCCCAUCACAUUGUAGAUGUUCCAGAUUACCCUAAAUCUCCAAUAAGGAGCCAAAUCCAUAGAAAAAAUUGCCUCCAAAGACAACAGAAAAUCAGCCUGGAUAGCAGAUUUUCUGGAAAAUUUUCUCUUCCCGCCGCCGCUCUUUCCCCUCGUUUUUCUCAGUUUUCUCCUCUAACUCUUCCCAGAUCUAACUCUCUCCCUCUCUUAUUUUGGUUUUCUUCCCUAUCCCAGAAAGCUCUCUAGUUUCCCCGGCUCCUUUCUUCUUCGUGUUCCCUUUUCGCAAACCUCAGCCGAAGCCUCCCUCUUUACUUCGGUCCUCCUGUUUUUCCCUCAACCAAAGACGAAAGCCCUCUGUUCUUUUCCUUCCCUUUUUCGUUUCCUAUGUAGCUCCUCCGAAAGCUUCUCCCUCAGUUUUUUCUUUUCCUUCUGCUUUUUCUUCCUCCUUCAGUCCAACGCUUUUUCUUUGUUUUCGUUCCUUUUCCCCGCAGCUUCUCUCUUUUCACCGUUUUCCCUCCUUCCGGGUCUCUAACUCAGCCGCCCUACUGUUUUUCUUUCUGUCAACCUCAGCCCUCCUCCUUUCUAGUUUCUCUCAGCCGUCCUUAGAUGCUCCCUUAGUUCUCUGCUGUUAUCUUUCUUUUCCCGUCGUUCUCCUUUUUGCCCCCCUUUUUCUCAGCCGCCCCUUCUUCCUUUUAUAACAAACAAAACACUAAACCCUCCUCUAAAGGGUUCUGAUGGAAGCCAAGUCAUUAGCCUUGUAGAUCAUCCGAUGGUGAACAAAAACAAGGAGUUGUUGUGCCUGCUUGAAAUGUUAUAUGAAGAAAUAGGCGCGGAUCCUGUGUAGCUCGGGUGCAUGAGCCUGUUUCCUUUUUUUUUCGGCAUUUUCAUUUUUUCAUUUUUCUCUUUUUCUUUUGUUUUUCUGAAAUUUAAUAUGAAGACAAAAUAAACCAGAACAAAAUAAAAUAAAAUAAAAAUUAAAACCCUAGAAUUGAAACAAAUAAACCCAUUAAAUUAAUUAAACAAAUAAAAUUAAAAGAUCAAAAAUUUGGUGUCUACACCAAAAUUUCAGUUUCAGUCGCUUUGCUAUUCACGUCUUCAUAUUCUGGUUCAUCUUCAGCAGCAACACUAUAAAAAUCCUCACUUUUUUGUUCAACAUCAGCACAUUUUCCUUGCUUGCCUGCAGUUUUUGGUGCUAUUUCUGGCCCAUUACUACUGUCUAAAUCUUUAGAAAACAGAUUCGGUACUCUCGGUGUCCAGUUGCUACUGCACCCUUUUGUAGUGUCUAAAUUUACUGGAUGAAUGUCAAUAUUUUCUCUACCAUCUUUUUCCACUUCAUCAGGGUCUAUACCUUUUCUAUGAUUAUAACAUCACUGUCUCUAUCCCUUUCGGCUUCAUCUCCCUUAGCUUGACUUAAGGGUGCUACAGCCUGUGGAUAACCUUGUGAGAAAACUCUAAGAAACACUUCUGCCACCCUAUGUGGUGGUAAUAUGUUCACCAUCAUCUCACAAUCCCUAUCACACAUACAAAAGACCAAGCCUGUAUCCAAUGUCAUCCCUGGUAGCAGAUAAUACCACCCAAAACCAUCUUCUACAUCAUACCCAAGUCUCUCUUCACAUUUGUCUAGAGCUACUAAUGACCACAUUUUUGGGUUGCAUCUACCUAUAAAAUCAACCAUUCCCCCUAUAUACUGCUUGUUAGGAGAGUCUGUGAAGGUCCCUUGAUGGUGUAUCUUUAAGGAGAAAGGUUCAGGCCAAAUUCCACUAUCACCAUUUCCUGGUUCAAAGAAAAAUUUUUUUAAUUCAAUAAUUAAUUUUUUGACACCUUUUACAGUGAAUCGGGACCACAAUGUCUUUAAUACAAGGAACAUUAGGGUUUGGACAAGAUAAACAUUGACUUAAAAAAGACCCCAAAUCAUUUUCAAGCCCAUACAUUCGACAUUAAACAAUUUUGUCUACCAUAAUUUAUCACUAACAUAUAACAUAUAGAGGUCAAUCUGGCCCUUUUUACAUUCCACAAUAUCACUACUAAACCUAACCGACAACAAUCAAAUAACCCAACUACUAUAUACGCUAUUAUCCAACAAGCAAACAAUGACCGUAAUAUCAUUUCUCUUACUGGGGCGGCCUUUCUCUUCUUGUUCUUCAAUGGCAACCUCAUUUCUCCAUCAAACCCUCUUCAAUGGCGAUCUUGAAUUUUCCAUGUUUACAAUAAAUUUCAUCUCUGACUCACGGUCACUAUCAUUUCAAGGGUAUAGACUAGUAGAAAUUUGAUAAUGUAUUGUUCACACCUUUUUCUCUCUCUCUCUCUGUGUUCAAAUCCAAGGUGAAGACGGCAGAAACAAAAACAAAGCUGUUUCGACUUAUUUUUCUUUUGCCCUUAUACCUAACGGGUGGCUAUUUUAGUUUUCAUGACUUAUCUAAUCUCACUAACGGCGCUUGUUUUGCACGCUCGAAGAACCCUGAUGAUUCUGUGGAGUCCGUCAACGAUUUUACUUAAUUGGGACGGAUUCAGUAGUUUGGGGACUUAAGUGUCUCAUUUACAAGUUUAGGGAUUAAAGUGAAAAUAGAGUAUAGUUUAGGGGGUCAAAAGGAAAUUUACCCGGUUUAAUUUGGUAUCAAAGACAGAGAAAGAGGAUCCAAGGCAUUUUAAAAAACGCGGGAAAGCCAAGCCAAGCUGCAAAUUCCCGCCAUUUCAUGUUACUAUUUCCGCCCCCAACUAAGCAAAACACCAAAAACAAAUACAAAGUCCACGCCUGCUACCGCCGCCGCCGCAGCAGCCACCGGUUUCCUCCUGAAAUAGAGCUCCCAUGGCUGAAACUCCAAAGAAAAGAUCCAAACAAACCCCUGAGCACCAACAGCAUGAUCUAUCUUCCUCAAAUGCCAUUACAAUCCUGCAACCCCAGUAGCCCUAGACCCCACCCCUGUCCGCCGAUCUUCCCGCCUUUACACCAACCCAACAGCGGCCACUGCUCCACCUCCUCCACCACCACGUUUCACCCGCCGUAAAUCCCUCAAUUUCACAACCACCACCCCACCCCCACCCCACCCCAAAACCCCCAAGAAACCAGCUCCCCAAAGUCAGGAAGAUGCUGCUAAGCAGAUUUCGCCUAUAUCCCCCGAUCGAUAUGAAACUAGGAGAAAAAGAAAAUUAGAUGAAGAAAAGAAUGCGGGUCUUGCGAAAAAUAAGGAUUUGAAAGGGGGAAGAAAAGGGUUUAUUAUAGAAAAGUGGUUUAUGAUGGGGGUGAGUUUUCUAUAGGGAUGAUGUCUAUGUGAAGAGGAGAGACAAUGCUGAAUCGGAUAAUGAGGAUCCUGAAGUGGAGGAGUGUGUGAUGUGCUUUAAGGCUGGGAGGGCGGUGAUGAUUGAGUGUGAUGAAUGCUUGGGGGGAUUUCAUCUCAAAUGUUUGAAACCACCUUUAAAGGAGGUUCCAGAGGGGGAUUGGAUUUGCAGGUUCUGCGAGGCAACAAAGUUGGGGAAAAAUGUUGAAUUGCCUGUGCCACCUGCAGGGAAGAAGAGGGCUAGGACUGCUAAGGAGAAGUUGCUUUCGAGUGAUUUGUGGGCAGCCCAUAUUGAAAGGUUUGGAAAACACUUUUCCAACCAAUGUUAUGUUUUGAUGAUUAUGCCUCAACUGGUUAAUGAUUCCUGAUUACGUUUACACUGGUGAUUUUUGAAUAUCGCAUAGUAUGUGGAAGGAAGUGGAUGGUACUUAUUGGUUUCGGUCUCGAUGGUAUAUUAUUCCUGAGGAGACUGCUGCUGGGAGACAGCCACACAAUUUAAGGAGGGAGCUUUACAGGACUAACGAAUUUGCUGAUGUUGAGGUAGUAACUGCAAUCCCCUAAUUCACCGUAUAGGUUCACUUUUUCCAGAUGCAAUUGCUUAUGCUUUCAUGAUAGCGGACUGCAUAUUUAUAGAUGUUGGAGAAGAACAGGUUUAUGCCAUGAUUUUUGCAUAAUGUUUUGCAUAGUCCCAAAGUGUUGCUCAGUAUUGUAUGCUGUGUUUCUUUUUUGUAAUGCUUGGAUAACUGUAUAUUGCAUUGUUAAUUACCAUUGUGUACUGAGACUGUUUCUUUUAUGCACAUAGAACCUGGUAAAGAGCAGUUUGUGGGCAUUUCAUGGAAUGUAACAAUUGUUUUAUGAGAUUAAACAAAGGCUGUUGAGAGUCUGGAUUUCUCUAACUAUGAAGGCAUCAUGUUUCUAAGGGGUUCUUUUAGGACACAUGGAAUUUUCUGUGUUGACAUUGACUCUGUAGUACUUGUUUCUCUAGAUGGAAUCUAUCAUUAGGCAUUGUUAUGUUAUGAACCCUAAAGAUUUUAGCAAGGCUGCUGAUGAAGGAGACGACAUUUUCCUGUGUGAAUAUGAGUAUGAUGUAUGUUGGCACAGUUUCAAACGCAUUGCAGAAAUCUCAAAUAAUGAAGAGGUAAGUGUUCCUAAACUCUGAACAACAUAAUUGGGGAUGGUAAUGCUUUUGCAUUGGACUUGAUUGAGACUGAUAUAUGCUUUUAUGAUUAAUAGGAUGCUGAAGAGGAUGAAAGUGAUAAGGACUGGAAUUCUUGCGAAAUUACGGGCUCUGAUUCUGAAGAUGACACAGACUAUAAAAAAGAGAAGAUUAAUGGCUCCCAGCGUGGACCCUCAUUUGGUCUCAUUUGGUCAUUCAUUGGCUGCUGUAUGAUCUUUCUUUUUUUUUUUUUUUAUAAAUCUCCUAAGUACUUAUUGGUAAUGGCAUCUAGUUGAAGCUGAUAGGCUGUUUUAAACUCUCUCAGAACUUGCGGAAGGGGCAAUUUUUUGGACUUCAAAAGAUUGGGGCAAAGAAAAUACCAGAACACACAAGAUGCCACAAACAAACAGAAAUUGGAAAAGCAAAAGCUAUGCUUCUACUGGCAUGCUUACCUAAGUCUCCACCUUGUAGGAAUAAGUGAGGAUGAUGCAGUAUAUUGUUUAUUUCUUGUGAUUCUUUGGUUAUCAAAAGAUGACAGGUCAUUCGAUGUAGAGAAAUGGAAGAAAUAACUGCAUUUAUCAAAGGAGCUGUAUCUGAUGGUCAAUGCCUCGGAAAAUGUCUUUAUAUUCAUGGAGUUCCUGGAACUGGGAAGGUAAGAUCUAGUAGCUAUUAUUGCAACAACAGUCAUAUUGUUUCUAGACAACACAUUAAAGUUAGCCACAUAAUGGUAUAAACUUAUUCUUGUUGUUGCCAACCAACAGACAAUGACUGUCCUUGCAGUAAUGAGGACCCUAAAAAUCGAAGUUGAUUCUGGGAAUAUCAAGCCUUAUUGCUUCGUUGAGAUCAAUGGUCUAAAGCUAGCCUCACCUGAAAAUAUCUACAGAGUAAGGUUUUUGGCGUUUAAUUUAUUUAGGACAUUCAUCUAUUGCCUGAUGACAUUCUCUUCUUUAAUUAUCUUCAGGUAAUCUAUGAAGCUUUAACUGGACACAGAGUUAGUUGGAAAAAGGCUCUACACUUAUUGAAUGAGCGAUUCUCAAAUGGGACGAAUUGGGAAGAAGAAAAUAACAAGCCUUGCAUCCUACUCAUAGAUGAACUUGAUCUUUUAGUAACCAGAAAUCAAUCGGUAAUUGGCAGGAGAUUUAAGAUUAGCUACGUUAACAUCUGCUUUCUACAAAAUUUAGAAAAUUUUUUCACCCAUAACCACCUUGUUUUUCCUGUCUUGGCUUGUAAAUCACAGGUUUUGUACAACAUUCUUGAUUGGCCUACCAAGCCACAUUCCAAACUAAUUGUGAUAGGUAAACACCCACAUUCUUGAUUGGUUCAACAUGGCAGGCACAAUUUGAUGAUAACAAAAGAAUGGGACUUUAUUUCUGCAUUUUGAAUAUCAUUCCAGGUAUAGCAAAUACCAUGGAUCUUCCUGAAAAGUUGCUUCCACGCAUCUCGAGUCGGAUGGGCAUACAGAGGCUUUGCUUUGGGCCCUAUAACUACCAGCAGCUUCAAGAAAUCAUAUCUAGUCGCCUCAAAGGAAUUGAUGCUUUUGAAAAACCAGCAAUUGAAUUUGCUUCUAGAAAGGUUUUUUUUUUUCUCUUUUUAUAAAUGAAUUAUGUUUAUGUGUACCUCAUAAAGAGUUCACCUGCUUUGAAGCUUUCAUUACUAUUGGUGUUUAUGUUUCUAAAUUUAGGUUGCUGCUGUCUCUGGUGAUGCUCGCCGUGCACUGGAGAUAUGUAGGCGAGCGGCAGAACUUGCAGAUUAUCGCUUAAGAAAAUCACAAUCACUUAAUGAUUCUGCUGGUACAAGUGAGACCUCUUAGAUGUUGCUUUCAUCAAUCUGAAGAUAUUUUAAUUAGAAUGCAUGUCAAUCCAGCAUCGGAUGAAGAAUUGUACCAAUAGAGAAAAAGGAAUACCAACUUAUUGGCUCUUGUGCUUCUCAUUUUCAGUUAAGAAGAAUCUGCAUAAGAAAUACCCUUGAACUAUUUCAUGUAAUUUGGCAAUAAAUCUUUUCCAUUUUUGUUUUCAUCAAAUGAAUCGACAAUUUCUAAGCACUUUACAAUAUCCAGAUAGACUGCUAUGAAUUGCAUGGGCAUGUGCUAUCCCGGUUCAGAAUGAUCCGUGAAAGGACAUAUAGUCCAUAUAACCUGUAAUCAGAUCUGAAAAUAAAGCAUUUCAUGGUAGAUUGUGUUGCAAAAAUUUUAUGGCAUGAAAUUCAGUAAUAUUGCUUAUUCUUUCUCUAAUCCAAAAUUGAUGAAGCCAAAGUUUUAGUGUCCUUGAAGUUUCUGCAAGAUAUCAUGGUUAUGCAAGUAUUGCCAUUUUUCAUCUUUCAGCAUUUACUUAUAUCAUCGAGUAUGAGAGGCAAGAUAAGAGCAGGCUGGCCUUCUAUUCAACUUUUGGUAAAUAAAAGAAUUUAAGACAACAAUUUGUGAAAUGAUGGACUUGGUAUUGGCCCACAUAAAGUACUUUCUGACUCCUAUUUUUUAUUUUUACAAUGUUAAUAUUGUAAAGAUUUCUAGAAAUGCUGGCUAAUUCCUUAGAAUGUAGAUGUGUAAAGUUUUAGUUUGGUUACAGAAACUUAUUAGGCUAAAAUGCAGGGAAAAGAGAGUCAACGAUGAAAAAUUUGCUUCAGGAUUUGUGGAGACAUAUAGGAAAAGAAUUUAGACAUUGAUGAAACUUCUGCCUGUUCUACCUCUAUCUAUGUGGCUAGAUAAGUGAAGUGAUGUUUAUAGUACUUGUCGAAAGACCUGGGGACAUUGACAGCACAGUAACAUGGCUGGUAUUAUGUGUAUUUUGUGACACCUUUUCAUCAGAGGCAGGCAAUUUAUUUGAAGAUUAAUAGUGAUAAGUUGCACACUUAGAAUUGGUGAUGUGAUAAUAUUUAGGACAAAAAGACAUCAAUAAUCUCGUUUUCUGCAACAGAUGGCUUUAAGAUUCAGGUCUGCACCUCUCUUUAGAUAUACCAAAUUGGAUGUCCAAUAGCUUCUUAUGGCAUCUAAGCCUCACAUGAUUUGGUGAACGAUUUGCUACCUGAUGCUGUAGUCAGAAGUACAGUUUUACACUAAAAUCAGUUUCUGUUCUUUUUGAAAGAGAAAAAGUACAGUUUAAUCCACAAUGUGAAAGUAGUAAAAGUACCUGUAGUUACUGCAGUUUUAUUAAUGAUUUUGCAGUUUUAAGUUCUCAAGUUUAAGAUAUUUAAAUCCUGCUUAUUUGUUCCACGCCAGAAAAAUGUGGAUUCACAGUUUCUUUGUGAACUUAUCAGGUUUCAAUGAAUCAAAACAGGCACUAAUAUAGGCUUAAGGCAGUCAAUUCAAAAGUUAAACAUAUUUCAUACUAUAAAAUUUGUUUCAAAGUAACUAACCAUUUAGUGACCUUGUUCUCAUGAUCUUGUCGUCUGAGAUUUUCUUUCAAGUCAUCCCAAGUAAACCAAUUUGUGGGGUUUUUGGUAUUACUGCUCAUGCAAACCCUAAUAAGGCUUCUAAGCAUCACAAUGAAGGUUGAUUCAUUUACCAUUAGCUGUCAAUUCUUUUGACGAACUUAAAUUUUGUGUAAAUUGAAGAAAGGUAAUUUGCAUCCCUUAAACAUUUAAAAAAAAAUCAAAGCCAUAUCAUCGGGAUAUUUGAAAUGAAGCAAGCGAUGUAUGAAAAGUUAACAAAAAAGUCUUUGUAUGGAGCUGUAAUGACACCAUAUGCUGGUAUUACAGUUUUCCUUUUGAUCUAUCUCUACACCUUCUCGCAACUAGCUAAUGAACUGUUAACAUCGACCACCAGCUUUGUGAAGAUAGAUUCUGUCAGCUAGCAGGUGCCAAAGGAUUAAGUUAACUACCUUACCUUACAGCUUUAUAGCUGUAAGCUUCAGUGAGGACAUUGAAGAACUAAUUAUUGUGAUCUACACUGUCUUUUCUGUUGCACAACAUCUACUGUCCCUUCUUGAUGAUUGAUAUAAUAUACAUACAUAUGUAUAUAUGGUCUUCAUUUAUAGCACCUAAUGAUGAAAAAACUUGGCUUUGCUGAAAUAAGCAGGCAAUUUUACCCCCGUUCCUUUAGAAAUUUUGGGGUUCAGGAAGUACAUUGUGCAUUGUCCCCUGUUCUGCCUGGUAUGCUAAUGUUGGUGAUGAAUAACUAGAACUUCAAAUGUGUAGAAUUCAUUUCAUUAAGAACUAUGCCUGGUCCUUAAAAACUUGUGCUCAGAUGACGAACCUGCAUGAUGCCAUUUGUUCAGGAAGAAGUCUUGUUGGUGUGGCAGAUGUAGAAGCAGCAGUAAAGGAAAUGUUCCAGGCUCCUCAUAUUCAAGUAAGUAUACAACUGUGAAGUAUCACGUGAACACUACUCCAUUACAGUUUUUAGAGGAAUACAUCAGUGAUGUCAAGGAAAUGCUGUGCCGCUGUCUUGAGGGUGGAUCCAAGUAUUUGAUGGUACUAGUUCCCUGACAGGGCUUGAGUAAUCAAGUUAUGGAUACUAAUGAAGUCUGUUUUGAUUGAAAUGCAACUUGAUACAGCUGGCUUAUUAUUAGAUGUGGUCAUAAAAGGCCAAAAUUUUCUUCCUUUUUUUUUUGAGGCUGGGAAGGGAGUUCUGCCUUUGUAUUCUUUAGAUCAUUAAGUGGUCCAUAUUUCUUUGAUGUUCACUUAUUAAUUGCAGUUUUCUUUUUAUAGCUAGUCUAUACAUUACUUACUGGAGAACCACCAUAUACACUGCUCAUACAGGCAUUAUUUAUGUAUUGACUUCGUUCGCAGGUAAUGAAAAGUUGUUCCAAACUGAGCAAAAUAUUCUUGGCAGCAAUGGUGCAUGAACUGUACAAAACUGGAUGGGUGAAACCAGCUUUGAAAAGGUUAUAUGGACCCUUUCAUUCUUUGAUUUUUAUUCUUCUUAGAAUGAUGGUCAUGAAUACAGCAGUACUAGUAUUGUUGUUGUUAGAGUUAAUGUUGUUAUUACUAUCAUUUUUGUAGUCUUACUCCUUGCUGCUGUGCUACCAUCUGAAUGCCUGAGUUAUGCAUCUUCACAUGGUUCCAAGCUGCCAAUUGCUUCCUUGGCACAUACAGCGCUAUCAUAUUUUGUUUGUCUUAUCUAUUACUUUUUCUAUUACCACAAGAUAGUAGAUACAACUUGCUGUUUCUUUGUGAUUUUUUUUGAUUCCGCCAAACUGUCCUUGGGAUUUCUUUUUCCUUCUUUGUUUUUGGAUGUGGCACCAGGAGUUGGGGAAAGGGGAUGGGGGAUUUAGCUUUUUCGGGCUGUUAGGGUAGCUUGACUAUAUUGUUUGGUAUGAAAUCUGAUAUUCUGCAUCCAGCCUCCAGCUGCUGCUGAGAGGUUGUUGAAUGUUAGUUGAUGCCACAGCAGCAGCUGGAAAGUAAAAGAUUACAUUCAGUGUCAUUCAAAAAUUGAAUCUUCCCAUUUUUAUCAGGUUUUACUGUUUCUGUUUUGUGUUGACUUUUCUUUUAAGUUUUUAAAGAUUUUUUUUAAAUUAUAUUCUGUGGGAGAGGCUAUAAUAUUAUAUUGCUCUUCAGCAUAAUGUCCGUAAAUGCUUGCUGUAUAUGCAGUUGGCAAUGACAGUUUCAUGCCUGUGUACAAGCAACGGUGAAGCAUUUCCAGGAUUUGACACACUCUUUAGAGUUGGGUAAGAUGCGUAAAUAGUUGUAUUUCCUUCAAUCAUAUGAACCAAAGUAUAUCGUCAGCCAUAUUCUUGUAGACCUUUUAUUGAAAUGACUUCAUUUAUGUGCUCAAAGACACGAAAUAAGUGUGACAUUUGUGUCUUUGCCAUGUAUGCACUUACUAAUUAGCAAAGAAGAUUUAGACCGAAUUUGAAGUUCUAAUGUGCCCCAGAGUUAAAGUUGAGGAAUUUUCUUUGCACUCCUUGUGUUUGAUAUUGGAUCUAAAAAGGAUUUCUUUGUUUUUGUUCCUUUCUUCUGUAGUUGAAAAAUCAAAGACCUUUUUUCCGUGUUACCUUGAUCAUUCAGAGGCUUAUUGUUAUUGAUAACAUAAGAGUGUCUCUGUACAUUGCUGGAAUUUGCAUCUUCGUUUCAUUUUAGUGAGCAUCGAAUUCUCCAUUAGAAAAUUAUAGAUGGUGAAAAAACUUGAGCUGACAUGUAGUGAGGUAAUCUAUGUGUGUUGAGUCCAUGUCAGAUGAAUUUAAAUCCUAUUUACCUCUAGUGUUUCUAAUAUUGUGGCAGAUGUAAGCUUGGGAAUGUCGAAUUAUAUUAUGUGAAGCGGGAGUCAGACACAAAUUGCAAAAAUUGCAACUCAAUUUCCCAAGGUCAGUCAUCACCAAGCCCUUUGUUUUAACUGAAUAAUCAUUAUUCCUCUGAGCUUACUUUCCCAACUUUAACAAGUUUCAAUUAACUGCUGUCUGAUACUGUGCUUGUGGCAUCCAGAGGUCUUGAAAAAAAGUGUAAUCCAGUUUUACUAAUUAGGGUGUCUAAGAGCCAAAGGCAGAAAACUUUGUCAGCUUGGUCAAUACUUGUGAUUUUAGUUGAAGACGUAUGUUCAAUGCCACAUCAUUGCAAAUCAAAAUACCGGCCAUCAAAUGGAUAAAUGGAUUGACUGGUGCUGACAUAGGAUUUCAUUUUGUUACCAUUCAGUUAGAUGACUCUCCUGCAUAGCAUCUCUUGAAGCUGGCAAUUGUAGAAAAGAAAUAAAAAUAAAAACCGAAUUUAGGUGUGUGGGAGACUACAUGACAGGUCGACAGUUAGUUGUCUAUGCCUCUGAUUUGAUAUUAGUUUGUGUAACAAAAAUUUAAGAUGACAAAUAUAAUUGGCCUCAUUCAGGAUGGAACUAGUAUAAUGGUCCAAAGUUUGUGCCUGCAACAUUUCAAUUUUUCAUAUACAAUGAAUAUAUGUGCCUGCAGCAUUCCACUUUUUUGCAUCUGAAUAUUAUGUACAUUGAAACUAGAUUACAGUCCUGAUGUUUCUGUUGAAUUUUGCAGUGAUGAUGUGACUUUUGCCCUCAAAGACAGCAAAGACCUACCAUGGUUGGCUAAAUACCUGUAAUCACAAAUAGUGAGAUGCUAAUGCAUUCUUUCCCGCUUGUGUACUACAGAUUUAUUCUUUUUACGUUUUCUAAAACCCUCUCAAUUUUGCAAAUUCAUUUUUAUUUUGGGAUCUAAAUCCCUGUUAUGAUUGUAGAAGUGGGAUUAUAAUUAUCGGCCUUCCACAUGGCAAGGCACUUAUCAGAUGUGCACUUCUUAGUUUUGAUAGGCAUUUAUAUAUGCUUUUUCCUGCAAAUGACUAAACUUUUUAUAUCGAAUUGAUGAGUAUUUAGUUGCAAUGAAUUUUAGCGUCAGUGCAUGGGUGUUUCUUGAAAUAUUUUAACGGAACUUUAUCAUAGAUGUUUCUGAAAAAAUCUACGGGUGGGAACCGUUGCUACAGGGAUAGGGUGGCAAGGAUGGAAAUGUGAGGUGUUUUCUGGUGUUUGGAUUGGGUACUUAUUGUUUAUCUAGAUCUGUUUUAUAGAAACUAGUGUUUAUGUAGCACCUUGCCUGCAUUAGCACCUUUGAUGUCUUCGCUAUAUCCAUGAUACACGGUUUAUCUUUAAAGAAAGGGAAAUAAGACUCCCAUGUCUGUAGUCUUUCAGGUGACAAGGCUUCUGGACCAUCUAAGUAAUGCCAAGAAGCUUUUCUGUAUUUUUGCCAUCACAGCACUUGUGCUGCAUGGAGUCCAAGUUCUACUUGAGCUAACAAUUUCCUGUGUCAUCUGUAUCCAUUAUGAUAUUAGGCACAAUGCAAAUUUCAGAUCCUUUUAUUCUCAAUAAUCUUUAGCACGUCCAAGGAGAGGUUUUGAAUUUGAACCUUUAGAACUUUAGUGUUAGUAUGUGUUUUUGCACUCAAAAUGUCAAUGCAAGUUUGUUUCUAAUCUUUUCCAAAGUGAAACCAUACUUGUCUCGCUGUUAGGAAAUUCUGUUAUGACACUGGGGAUACCCAAGUAAUUAUCAAAGGUCAUUUGUCGAUUCCUAGACCAGAAGAGAAGAUUAGGCUCUGAGUCUGAGCAUGUGGGUACGUGUUCUUGGAGAAGAACAUCUUUCAUUUCUCUAGGUUGAUAGAUAGGCCAAACCUUAGGUAAAAAUUGUCUAGAACACUUUUUGCUGUAUUUAUAGAACGUUCUCCACAACUAAAGAACAAAAUUAGGUCAUCUGCAAUCAUGCAGUGUGAGAUGACAGGCCCAAUCUUUAAAGGCUCCCAUUUUUCUGGCUCGCUGCUUCUGUCAUACAUAUGGAAAUAUACAUAUGGAGAAAUGGACCCCCUUGUCUGAUUACCCUAAAAAGAAUUAUCCAUUUAGAGGGACAGGUUCACGGAUUAUUAAGAAGUCAAAAGGGAUUAAAUCGUAUUUUUAUAUUUUAAGAGAAGGGGAAGUCAAAAGGGAUUAAAUCGUAUUUUUAUAUUUUAAGAGAAGGGGAUAGGUUCAACGAGAUGACUAACAUGUCAAAGGAAUCUAAAUACUUCUUGAACCAAAUAUGUGCACUAAAGGACCCGGUGAAUUUGAAAGGUUAAGAAUUUCUAGUGUUUGAUAUUUGACAAGAAGAUUUGAUCUCCCAACCAACAUCCCAAUAGGAACUUAAAGACCCUCUUGAUGGACACUAGACCAAUGGUUCAAGUUAAGGCCUCAUGAAACUCCAUUCAAAUUUGUCAUAAGCAUUUUCCAGGUUUAUUUUUAAAGCACAAUUUCCUAUUUUUCUCUCUCUUUGCUAGGAAUCUUUUUCAACACUUAACGCAGCAGGAAACACAUUAAACAAAAAUGUAGAACUCAUUUUACUCGUGAUCAUGAGAGUUUUUUUCUAUUCAAUUUGUUGGUACCGUUAGAAGAUUAUUGCUAAGUAUCUUGAGACUCAAUGAGAGCAGAGAUAAGCGAGCUUGGACAUCAUUUAUAGGAGAGCUGACAAUUAUACAAGAAUCCUGGUCUCCCAGAUUUUACACAGAUGUUUAGUAGAACAACUCCAAACUGUUAUCGUUUGAAAAAAAAAAAAAAAAAAAAAAGAACAGCUCCAAACUUGAAAGUGAAAGCAGGCACUAAUGAGGUUGACCAAACCAGUGUAACUCAAGAGCCUACAUUUAUCUUUCCCUUCUCAUUUAGUUUGUUGAUGUUAAUAAACUUAAAUUGUUCAUUUUGUGAAGCAUUUAUUUGUGAAUUACUUAAAAGAUUUAAUAAUAUGUUUGCACCAUAACUAACAAAACUAGAGAUGUAAACGAAUCUAAUUAAACUGAACACCCUAAUGUUCAAUCUUAUUUGAUUAUUUUAUGAGCUUGAAUUUUUGUUCAAAUUUAUUGUCAAACAGAAUUUGAACAAGUUUCUUUAUUGAAUUUGAAUGUUAUCGAAUAAAAGAUGUUAUUCAAAUUUAGUUUGACUAGUCAAUAACCAAUCUCAUACGAAACUCUUAUCAAACCGAACUUGAUUUAAGUCUCGAGUAAUUUGAUUCAUUUUUCAGCUCUAAACAAAACCAACACUCUAUACAUCAAACUAUUAUCUUCACAGCAGAGAUGUACUCCUUUGUCUUCUUAAUACAACGUUAAGAUUAUCUUUUCUAUUUUUACUAUUUUUUUUCAUUUCUUAGUUACGACCUUUUUUCCAAUUAGCUUUGCACUUUUCGUCAACAAACUAUUGACUUAAAUUUCUUGCGCUGUUUGAGCAUAAGCUUUUAUCUGUUCCAGAUUUUGUAAGAAUGGUAGAAUUAAUUUUAGAAUAGUUACAUGUAACCAUAAUGAUUAUUAUAAUAAAAAUGUCAAGAUUAAAAGUCUACAUACACUUUUCGCGUGCGUGUUUACACACACUUGCUAAAACCUACAAUAGUGGGUAUACUUAGUAGUAAUAAAAAGAUAAUACAUGCAUCUGGUAUACAAAUCUGAGUCGUUACUUUUUUAACUUGUCAAACUCCAUCGACUUUUGAAGUCGAAUUUGAAUUCUGUUUCUAAGCAUUUAAUCAACAAUUUGCUAGAAGGUUAACCGUGUAAACAUGUAACGAGGAAGAUGUUGGAAGCCACUCAUACUACAGCAGGAGAAAACUGCAUCAUACAAGAUGUUAAAGCAAUUACCUUUUACGAACUGUAGCAUUUAUCUUCAUGAAGUACAAUUUAAUCCUACUACGAAACACAAAACUGCAAAUUUAUGCAUUUGACAGCUGCAGAUUCAGAGCAGGUUGCUGCGUAAAAGAGGAGGUCCUCUGCCACAAUGGCCGGCCCAGAAUGGCACUUCCAUGGACAGCAAGGUAGGCGGCAUUCAACCUGUUUCAAAAAUUGAACAUUCUCAGCUAAAAGAACCACAGAGCACAUGGACAUCAAAGGAACAAAGACUACUACAACAUUGUUGCAAGGAAGUUGCAAAAGAGGGAUUUACUUGUCAACGCCACGCGUAGCCAAAGGAUCAUAUAGUUCCUCUCUUUGUUCUAAAGCAGGAGCAGCAGCUGAUAUUGCUGCAGGAUCUUGAGAACCUUCACCCUGUAAAGAAUACAACAUAAACCACUUUUUCAGAAGAAAAAUCAACAAGAUGUGCAACCAAAUAUAUUCUAAAAACAAGAUUAACAAGAAAAAAUUCCCAGAAGGAAUGAUAGGUAUCUCAAGAUUAUGGAAAUCCAGAAAUCUUGGUGGUGGUCACAUACUGAAGGUUUUGAGAGAGGCAAAGUGUGAAAAGAUGGCACAUUGGCCAAUGAAGUAAAUCUUUCUAUUAUCCUCGUAAUCGUCGCCUAUGCUCCAGUCACCAACAAAAGUUCAUAGGAAAAGAAGGGAACAAACACAACAGAAGUUGCUCAUGUGCAAUCCGAGUCAGCAUCUUUCAACUCUCCCAAUCAAAGCAGUCCAUCACUGCUUAAGAUGGAAGAACAUUGAUUGAAGCUCUAUUCCAAUCAACGUUACCUCACCAGGUGGAGCAAGGAAGUUAUAACAGCAGAUUUGCGGGUUGAGUUAAAAUUUUUGAUGGAACUCAAUCUAACUAAAUUCAAGGCAAAUCUAUUUUAAGCUUGGCUUCCCCAAGGUAGUUCACGAACUCCCAAGCCCCAACUGCCUAACCUCUG
rnacentral:lncRNA from 1 species